CCUACGGGAGGCAGCAGUGAGGAAUCUUCCACAAUGGACGCAAGUCUGAUGGAGCAAUACCGCGUGCAGGAAGACGCUUUUCGGAGUGUAAACUGCUUUUGUCGUCGAAGAUUAUGACUGUAGACGAAGAAUAAGGACCGGCUAACUACGUGCCAGCAGCCGCGGUAAUACGUAGGGUCCAAGCGUUAUCCGGAAUUACUGGGCGUAAAGCGUACGCAGAUGGCGUAAUAGGUGAGUUGUGAAAUCUUGUGGCUCAACCAUAUAGACUAUGACUCAAACCAUUACACUAGAGGUUGGUAGAGGCAAGCGGAAUUCCCGGUGUAGCAGUGACAUGCGUAGAUAUCGGGAGGAACACCAAUGGCGAAGGCAGCUUGCUGGGCCACACCUGACGUUAAGGUACGAAAGCGUGGGGAGCGAACGGGAUUAGAUACCCCGGGUAGUCCGACGACCGUAACGAUAGAGUACUAGUAGGUAGUAGGUAGAGUACGUACCGUCCUCGUGUCGUACGAACGACGUAACGACGAGUAAGUAAUACCGCCGUCGGGAGGUACGGAACGACGAACGUUAAACGUUAACGUAAAGGUAAAGUUAGUUACGGACGUGUUAGAGUAGCCGACGGACGACGACGAGGGAGGAGG
rnacentral:rRNA from 1 species